GCCGUUGGCCUCCCUACCUGAUCCGAGGUCACCUGGGAUAAAAAUUUAGGGUUGAUCGGCAAGCGCCGGCCGGGCCUACAGAGCGGGUGACAAAGCCCCAUACGCUCGAGGACCGGACGCGGUGCCGCCGCUGCCUUUCGGGCCCGUCCCCCGGACCGCGGGGGACGGGAGCCCCCAAAAACACACAGCAAGAGAGCGCCUGGUUCCGGCAUCCAGGAAGAACGCGCCCAAAGGCGACACGGAGUGUGAAUUGCAAAUUCAGGGAAUCAUCAAGUCUUUGAACGCACAUUGCGCCCCCUGGUUUUCCGGGGGGCAUUGCUGUCCCAACGUCAUUGCCGCCUCAAACCCCGUAUAGUGUUUGGAUUAUUGUUUAACAAACUACUAUCAAUCCCAAUUUCAGGGGUGGCUCUAAUUGUUGGGUUCCCGAGGACGUAACCAUUCCGACCCGCUCUGUAGGCGAGUCCACGCUUGGCAUUUAUCCCUAUUUUUAUCCGGGUGGACCCCGAAUCAUGUAAAGAUAACCGCUGAAAUUAUGGGUUUCAAUUGCGGAAGGAAGCUCUCUGGGUCCCACCUCCCCCGUGUUUUUUUUCCUUGUUGCUUCUCUGGCCGCCUUUUCUGGUCUCGGG
rnacentral:misc_RNA from 1 species